GUGCUCACUUCAGCAGCACAUAUUCUAAAAUUGGAAUGAUACAGAGAAGAUUAGCAUGGCCCCUGCACAAGGAUGGCACACAAAUUCAUGAAGCAUUCCAUAUUUGU
rnacentral:snRNA from 1 species